rnacentral:rRNA from 1 species
GAUGAACGCUGGCGGCGUGCCUAAUACAUGCAAGUAGAACGCUGAAGGAGGAGCUUGCUCUUCUGGAUGAGUUGCGAACGGGUGAGUAACGCGUAGGUAACCUGCCUGGUAGCGGGGGAUAACUAUUGGAAACGAUAGCUAAUACCGCAUGACAACAGUUAUUGCAUGAUAACUGUUUAAAAGGGGCAACUGCUCCACUACCAGAUGGACCUGCGUUGUAUUAGCUAGUUGGUGAGGUAAAGGCUCACUAAGGAGACGAAACAUAGCCGACCUGGGAGGGGGAGCGGCCCACAUGGGAAUGGGACACGGCCCAGACUCCUAAGGGAGGGAGCAGGAGGGAAUCUUCGGGAAUGGACGGAAGUCUGACCGGGCAACGCCGCGUGAGGGAAGAAGGUUUUCGGAUCGUAAAGCUCUGUUGUAAGAGAAGAACGAGUGUGAGAGUGGAAAGUUCACACUGUGACGGUACCUUACCAGAAAGGGACGGCUAACUACGUG